GGUAAAGCUACCCCGUGACAGGUAUCCAUAAUAGACUUUUCAUCCAUGAAUUUGGCUGAUCACCCUGGUCUUUAUGAUUCUGGGUCUGUUCUAUUCUGGAUCCAGAUAUCAAGAGAAAAUGGAGUUGUGGCAGAAAGGCACAGCAGAUUAUCUCUUUCACAGAUAUAAGUGCCUUACAAAAUCAGUGUUGAGAGACUCACAUAGGAAGCUGUGCAGUGAUACAAGGCCAACUUUCCUUUUUGUUACCUGGAGAACAAACAGAAGACACUAAUUUGCUACAGAUCAAGCCUGUCUGACCCCCUGAUGAGAACAUCAACCCAGCGGAAGAGGCCAAAAGCUUUUAAAGGAGUACGGCAGCAGAAGAUGCAGAAUUUUCCCUGGUAUUGAAGAAAUUUAAAAAAAAAUCUAA